rnacentral:rRNA from 1 species
AUGAAGCGAGAAGUCGACGCGCCGUUUAUCGGCGUCCGGCCCUCCGCAAGCGCCCGCGGGAGUUCGGGUUCCGGACCCGGUCCGAUCCCGUUCCCUCCGUGGGGCUGUUUGCGAUCAGGAGGUGUCCUCGGACGGCGUCGUUUUUCUCCAGUCCGCGACGCUACGGCUUGGAUGGCCUACCCGACCCGUCUUGAAACACGGACCAAGGAGUCUAACAUGCGCGCGAGUCGUUGGGUCGGACGCGCUCCGCUAAACCCAUAGGCAAAAUGAAAGUGAAGGCCCCUUUUGGGUGCCGAGGGAGGACGGAGCGGGUCCCCUUGUGGGACGGCUCCCGCACUCCCGGGGCGUCUGAUUCCUCAUUGCGAGGGAAGGCGCACCCAGAGCGCACACGUUGGGACCCGAAAGAUGGUGAACUAUGCCUGGCCAGGACGAAGUCAGGGGAAACCCUGAUGGAGGUCCGUAGCGAUUCUGACGUGCAAAUCGAUCGUCGGAGCUGGGGAUAGGGGCGAAAGACUAAUCGAACCAUCUAGUAGCUGGUUCCCUCCGAAGUUUCCCUCAGGAUAGCUUGCGCUCGGAGGAGAGUCUCAUCCGGUAAAGCGAAUGAUUAGAGGCCUUGGGGCCGAAACGGCUUCAACCUAUUCUCAAACUUUAAAUGGGUGAGAACUCCGGCUUGCUCGAUAAAUUUUAUGAAGCCGGAGUCGGGGCCACGAGCCCCCAGGAUCGGAGUGCAUAGUGGGCCACUUUUGGUAAGCAGAACUGGCGCUGUGGGAUGAACCAAACGACGGGUUAAGGCGCCCGAAUCGACGCUCAUGGGAAACCAUGAAAGGUGUUGGUUGCUUAAGACAGCAGGACGGUGGCCAUGGAAGUCGGAAUCCGCUAAGGAGUGUGUAACAACUCACCUGCCGAAGCAACUAGCCCUGAAAAUGGAUGGCGCUGAAGCGUCGUGCCUAUACCCGGCCGUCGCGGCAGGGCGGGCCCCGUGAGGGGUGCCGCUUGAUGCGGCGACGAGUAGGAGGGUCGCGGCGGCGUGCGCAGAAGGGUCUGGGCUCGAGCCUACCUGGAGCCGCCGCCGGUGCAGAUCUUGGUGGUAGUAGCAAAUACUCCAGCGAGGCCCUGGAGGACUGAUGUGGAGAAGGGUUUCGUGUGAACAGCCGUUGCACACGAGUCAGUCGAUCCUAAGCCCUAGGAGAAAUCCGAUACCAACGGCGAUGGGACGAAACAAACUCACGAGAAUACAGCCCAUUGAUCGGGCGAAAGGGAAUCCGGUUCCUAUUCCGGAACCCGGCAGCGGAACCGCUGUUUGUCGGGCCCUCACAAGGGGUUCGUCAGGGUAACCUAAAAGGGCCCGGAGACGCCGUCGGGAGCCCCGGAAAGAGUUUUCUUUUCUGCAUGAGCGUUCGAGUUCCCUG